rnacentral:rRNA from 1 species
GACGUAGGGGGGCUAGCGUUGUCCGGAUUUAUUGGGCGUAAAGAGCGUGUAGGCGGCCAGGUAGGUCCGUUGUGAAAACUCGAGGCUCAACCUCGAGACGUCGGCGGAAACCAUCUGGCUAGAGUCCGGAAGAGGAGAGUGGAAUUCCUGGUGUAGCGGUGAAAUGCGCAGAUAUCAGGAAGAACACCCGUGGCGAAGGCGGCUCUCUGGGACGGUACUGACGCUGAGGCACGAAGGCCAGGGGAGCAAACGGG